rnacentral:lncRNA from 1 species
UCUUUCAUACCGAAGAAUUAAUUUCAAAAUCAUAAAACAGUUUACGAUUCGUGAUCAGAGUCUACAGGAGAACAGCAGCAGCAAAAAACAGCAACUUGAUUCACGGAACCAAUGACUUAAUGAAUCGCGUUGCGGAAGGGACUCAUCUCUUUAAAUCUGCAAUCAGUUUCAGUUCUUUAUUACGAUGUCCUUGGCGGGCGGCUAUUAAGUCUCGAAAGAUCUUCGAUUUCCUCCACGGUGCAUGUAUACUUUCUCCGUGCUUUGUCCCGUCGCACGUUUACCGAUCGAAUCAGAGUGAAAGGGGGAAGCAGAGGAGGGGUUGGAGCAAGGGAAGGGUGAAAAAAAUCGGGACACGUCGGAUCGGGCUACCGUAAAAGCGAACGGGUCGAAGAUGGUAGCAGGAGAGCCAUCGAUAAAAUGCACACAAUGAGGAAACGGUAAAUUCUGACCAAAAUCCUUCCAAAAAACUAUGAUGCAUCAAACAGAAAGAAUGGAAAUUUUAUAAGUUAUUUCCGAGUCCCCAGAAGUAAAAAAAGAAGAAAAUAGUCGAGCGCCAUCUUGCGAAAGGAACAUCUCAUAAGAUGGACGUAGAACCUGUUAACAGAAGUAUCUAUGUAUUAAUAGAAGUAGAUUAAAAUAUUCUGAAAAAUAAGUUAUUUCCGAAUCCCCAGAAGUAAAAAAAGAAGAAAAUAGUCGAGCGCCAUCUUGCGAAACGAACAUCUCGCAAGAUGAACGUCGAGUAGUAAGAGAAUAAGGGUUCGAAAUAUCAAUAAGACGUCGAUAGUGUAUCGAUAAUCGUUUCCGUACGAAAUGCGGCUUUUCAGACUACUGUAUACGGCAAGGGGUAUUCGUGAGAGGGGGUGAGAGCCCGGUCGCGCCGAUCGCAGUUUCUUAUAGCGCGGUGGGACAGAAAAGAUCCGCCGCAAAAAAGGACCGCCCUGGCUGCGUGGACGCGCAGAAUCUGCAAUUAUAUCGCAAAAAAGGAGCCGAGUGUCCGGGACAAACUGCUUCCUGGCCCGUAAACAAUGCUGCCAAAUAAGUCGGCGGGCAUAAAUCGUUGGUCGUGUUCCCUGGUUGGCUGGCUUUGGCUUGUGCUGUUUGGUCGGCGUGCUCGCGCGAGCAGCUUCCCAAUCGCACGAUAAAAAGCCAAUCGAUCGCUAAACUCUUUAUUCCGCCGCUGAAAAGCUCGGCCGAACGAAACCGGGAGGAUGGGUCCUUCAGUUCAGGGAGAUUCGGAUUUACGAGUUCGGAUAUUGCGAUAUAAAGUUUCUUAUUUCGACUGCGUCCGAUGGAUGUUGAUAUAUCGAUUUAAUCGACCUCCAGGUGAACGUAAAGCGAUACGUCGUCCCAAAAGAAAACAUAAACGACCUGAACGAUGACGAGGUAAGAACUUACUGAAAGUCGCGAACACCGGACAUCGUUUUUGAAAGAUUGAAGAAUCGAAGUAUAAUCAGUUACACGUCAUUUUGCCAGGUAAUUUCUCUCGAUUCCAUCGUGCAGCGGUCGUUAAAAAGUAACAGGAGGGCGUGGAACGGAAUCGCGGUUAAUGGUCGAUUUACGCGCGAUAAAGUCGUACACCGGAGAGGGCAGCUUCGAUAUAUAUUAAAGCGCGAUCCGUUUAGUGGCAAUUACAGGCUAAUUCGCGCCUUCGUAAAUCAGACGUUGAUUCGCGGAUCUGUGCCACCCUUUUUCACCGACGUCCUACGUGACCGGUUUUGAUGAGAUAUUACAAAGAUACACCCUAGCUGUUCUCGGUUACUUUAUCUGAUUAACGACGUAUUUCCAUCUUCGAGAGAUGUAUUACCCCUGGAAAUCUUAUCAAUUUAGAUUAACACGUUUGCUACCCACUUGCAUUUAUUAAAUAGGUUAUAGGUUCUUUUCAUGGAGGUUAUACGUCCAUUACUGUUUUUCGUAGUAAACCCAAGAUUAUAGUGGUAUAUUCCAUUUUUGGAAUUUGGGAACUUGGAGAUGUGGUUUGGGAAUUUGGGGAUGUAGAGUUAUGGAGGUUUAAGUGUGUGGCAAGUUGGGGAUGUGAGGAUUUGAGGAUGUUACAAUUUGGGGAUGUGAAGGUUUAAGGAUGUAACAAGUUAGAGAUGUGAAGAUUUGAGGAUGUGACAAUUUGGAGAUGUGGAGGUUUAAGGAUAUGACAAGUUGGGGAUGUGAGGAUCUGAGGAUGUGACAACUUGUGGGUGUAGGUAUUUAGGAUUUUAAAGAUCUGAAGAUGUGAGGAUUUGGAAAUGUGAGAAUAUGGAGAUGUGAGGAUCUGAGGAUGUGAGGAUUUGAAGAUGUGUGGAUCUGAGGAUGUGUUGAUCUGAGGAUGUGAGGAUUUGACGAUGUGAGGAUCUGGGGAUGUGAGGAUAUGGGGGUGUGAGGACCUGAGGA